CACUCCUGCGGGAGGCAGCAGUGGGGAAUAUUGGACAAUGGGCGCAAGCCUGAUCCAGCCAUGCCGCGUGAGUGAUGAAGGCCCUAGGGUUGUAAAGCUCUUUCACCGGUGAAGAUAAUGACGGUAACCGGAGAAGAAGCCCCGGCUAACUUCGUGCCAGCAGCCGCGGUAAUACGAAGGGGGCUAGCGUUGUUCGGAUUUACUGGGCGUAAAGCGCACGUAGGCGGACUAUUAAGUCAGGGGUGAAAUCCCGGGGCUCAACCCCGGAACUGCCUUUGAUACUGGUAGUGUUGAGUUCGAGAGAGGUGAGUGGAAUUCCGAGUGUAGAGGUGAAAUUCGUAGAUAUUCGGAGGAACACCAGUGGCGAAGGCGGCUCACUGGCUCGAUACUGACGCUGAGGUGCGAAAGCGUGGGGAGCAAACAGGAUUAGAUACCCCUGUAGUCCCAUGA
rnacentral:rRNA from 1 species